GGGGAAUAUUGGGCAAUGGGCGCAAGCCUGACCCAGCAACGCCGCGUGAGGGAAGAAGGUUUUCGGAUUGUAAACCUCUGUCGCAGAAGACGAAGGAAGUGACGGUAUUCUGUGAGGAAGCCCCGGCUAACUACGUGCCAGCAGCCGCGGUAAUACGUAGGGGGCGAGCGUUGUCCGGAAUUACUGGGCGUAAAGGGUGCGUAGGCGGUUAAUUAAGUUGGAUGUGAAAUUCCCGGGCUUAACUUGGGAGCUGCAUUCAAAACUGGUUAACUAGAGUUCAGGAGAGGGAAGCGGAAUUCCUAGUGUAGCGGUGAAAUGCGUAGAUAUUAGGAGGAACACCGGUGGCGAAGGCGGCUUUCUGGACUGACACUGACGCUGAGGCACGAAAGCGUGGGGAGCAAAC
rnacentral:rRNA from 1 species